rnacentral:lncRNA from 1 species
UGGCCCUUGUGUAUUACAUUUGCAUUUCCUGUAUACCUAUCUUGGCUGCUCUAUUCACUACCUUUUUAUACCUAUCCAUUCUUUUUCUCUUUUUUUCUAAAGUUUUGUUCCCUUUGAAGACUCUUGCUCUUAAAACAAGGAGUAUCCAAAUUCAUCACUUAAAAGUCAAUCUUCCUACAGGUUUCAUCAUGGAAUUUUUGAAUCUAUUCUGAUUGCACUAGUUAUCCUUUAGUGAAACUAUUUUUAUUUCACAGACUUAGAGUCUCUCGAACUUGGUAUGCAACUCUGGGCAAAAGCAUUUGAAUGUGUGUUUUUCAUUUUGAUUAAGAAAUGAGAGCACUUUGAAGAUACAUCCAUGAUGCUGGCUACCCGUAAAGAAAAUAAACUGAGUGUCAAUGGAACAGACAGAGAAUCAGAGAACAAAAGAAAGUCAAGAGAUUUACCCAAGGAGAGAAUGGUAGCAGAAACAGACUCGGG